AGUGCAUGUGGUGGAUGCCUUGGCGAUUACAGGCGAUGAAGGACGUUGCAGCCUGCGAAAAGCCCCGGGGAGCUGGCAAGCAAGCUUUGAUCCGGGGAUGUCCGAAUGAGGAAACUCACCCGCAAGGGUAUCCCUGACUGAAUCCAUAGGUCAGGGAGGCGAACCCGGCGAACUGAAACAUCUAAGUAGCCGGAGGAACAGAAAUCAACCGAGAUUCCCAAAGUAGUGGCGAGCGAAAUGGGACCAGCCGUCGUGUUAUAGCCAUCUCGUUAGCGGAACAGUCUGGAAAGGCUGGCCAUAGUGGGUGAUAGCCCCGUACGCGAAAACCAGGUGGUGGAACUAGGCACGAGACAAGUAGGGCGGGACACGUGAAAUCCUGUCUGAAGAUGGGGGGACCAUCCUCCAAGGCUAAAUACUCGUAAUCGACCGAUAGCGAACAAGUACCGUGAGGGAAAGGCGAAAAGAACCCCGGGAGGGGAGUGAAAUAGAUCCUGAAACCGCAUGCAUACAAACAGUGGGAGCCCUUCGGGGUGACUGCGUACCUUUUGUAUAAUGGGUCAGCGACUUACAUUCAGUGGCGAGCUUAACCGAAUAGGGGAGGCGCAGCGAAAGCGAGUCUGAACAGGGCGUUCAGUCGCUGGGUGUAGACCCGAAACCAGAUGAUCUAUCCAUGGCCAGGAUGAAGGUGCGGUAACACGCACUGGAGGUCCGAACCCACUAGUGUUGAAAAACUAGGGGAUGAGCUGUGGAUAGGGGUGAAAGGCUAAACAAAUCUGGAAAUAGCUGGUUCUCUCCGAAAACUAUUUAGGUAGUGCCUCGUGAUACACCCUCGGGGGUAAAGCACUGUUAUGGCUAGGGGCCUAUUGCUGGUUACCAAACCAUUGCAAACUCUGAAUACCGAGGAGUGGGUUCACGGGAGACAGACAUCGGGUGCUAACGUCCGGUGUCGAGAGGGAAACAACCCAGACCGCCAGCUAAGGCCCCAAAGCCGUGGUUAAGUGGAAAACGAUGUGGGAAGGCACAGACAGCUAGGAGGUUGGCUUAGAAGCAGCCACCCUUUAAAGAAAGCGUAAUAGCUCACUAGUCGAGUCGUCCUGCGCGGAAGAUGUAACGGGGCUCAAACCACGCGCCGAAGCUGCGGAUACGUGCUUGCACGUAUGGUAGGAGAGCGUUCGGUAAGUCUGUGAAGGUGGCUCGUAAGGGCUGCUGGAGAUAUCCGAAGUGCGAAUGCUGACAUGAGUAGCGAUAAAACGAGUGAAAAGCUCGUUCGCCGAAAGCCCAAGGUUUCCUGCGCAACGUUCAUCGGCGCAGGGUGAGUCGGCCCCUAAGGCGAGGCUGAAAAGCGUAGUCGAUGGGAAAUCGGUCAAUAUUCCGAUACCUUUCUUGAAUGCGAUGGGGGGACGGAGAAGGUUAGGUCAGCCGGGUGUUGGACGUCCCGGUUUAAGCGUGUAGGCGGAUCCCUUAGGCAAAUCCGGGGGGUCAACGCAGAGGCGUGAUGACGAGCAGACUUGUCUGCGAAGUGACUGAUACCAAGCUUCCAGGAAAAGCCUCUAAGCUUCAGUUCAAGAAAGACCGUACCGCAAACCGACACAGGUGGGCAGGGUGAGAAUCCUAAGGCGCUUGAGAGAACUCGGGUGAAGGAACUCGGCAAAAUUGCACCGUAACUUCGGGAGAAGGUGCGCCCCGGUAGGUUGUAGUCCCUCGCGGACGAAGGCCGAUGGGGUUGCAGUGAAAUGGUGGCUGCGACUGUUUAAUAAAAACACAGCACUCUGCAAACACGAAAGUGGACGUAUAGGGUGUGACGCCUGCCCGGUGCCGGAAGGUUAAAUGAUGGGGUGCAAGCUCUUGAUUGAAGCCCCGGUAAACGGCGGCCGUAACUAUAACGGUCCUAAGGUAGCGAAAUUCCUUGUCGGGUAAGUUCCGACCUGCACGAAUGGCGUAACGAUGGCCACACUGUCUCCACCCGAGACUCAGCGAAGUUGAAAUGUUUGUGAAGAUGCAAUCUCCCCGCGGCUAGACGGAAAGACCCCAUGAACCUUUACUGUAGCUUUGCAUUGGACUUUGACGGGACUUGUGUAGGAUAGGUGGGAGGCUUUGAGACCAGGACGCCAGUUCUGGUGGAGCCGUCCUUGAAAUACCACCCUGGUGUCGUUGAGGUUCUAACCUUGGCCCGUGAAUCCGGGCCGGGGACCGUGCAUGGUAGGCAGUUUGACUGGGGCGGUCUCCUCCCAAAAGGUAACGGAGGAGCACGAAGGUGCGCUUAGUGCGGUCGGACAUCGCACUGAAUCUGCAAUGGGAAAAGCGUGCUUGACUGCGAGACUGACAAGUCGAGCAGGUGCGAAAGCAGGUCAUAGUGAUCCGGUGGUUCUGUAUGGAAAGGCCAUCGCUCAACGGAUAAAAGGUACUCUGGGGAUAACAGGCUGAUUCCGCCCAAGAGUUCACAUCGACGGCGGAGUUUGGCACCUCGAUGUCGGCUCAUCACAUCCUGGGGCUGUAGCCGGUCCCAAGGGUAUGGCUGUUCGCCAUUUAAAGUGGUACGUGAGCUGGGUUUAAAACGUCGUGAGACAGUUUGGUCCCUAUCUGCCGUGGCGUUGGAAGUUUGAGGGGGGCUGCUCCUAGUACGAGAGGACCGGAGUGGACGCACCUCUGGUGUACCGGUUGUCACGCCAGUGGCAUCGCCGGGUAGGUAAGUAUCGUGACUGGGA
rnacentral:rRNA from 1 species